UACGGGGGGGGGCAAGCGUUUGUUCGGAAUUACUGGGCGUAAAGGGCUCGUAGGUGGCCAACUAAGUCGGACGUGAAAUCCCUCGGCUUAACCGGGGAACUGCGUCUGAUACUGGAUGGCUUGAGUUUGGGAGAGGGACGCGGAAUUCCAGGUGUAGCGGUGAAAUGCGUAGAUAUCUGGAGGAACACCGGUGGCGAAGGCGGCGUCCUGGACCAACACUGACACUGAGGAGCGAAAGCCAGGGGAGCAAACGGG
rnacentral:rRNA from 1 species